GCCCCUCUCCCUCUCUGCUGCUUCAGACUCCAACGAAGCAAAGAGACCCUCCGACGCCUCUCACAAUGGUUAGUCCUCCUCCCCUCACCCUUUUCGUGUUUCGCUCUUAGGAAGAAGGAAGAAAAACCACAAAACAAACAACAACAAAAAUAAUAAAAUAAUAAGAGAUCUCAGAAAACAAAAUUAAUCACCUCUCGAAUCCUUGCUUUUCUAUUUUUCCUCUUUAUUUCCUUUAAUUCUCAAUACCAAAAUUUGCUAACCUCCUUUACAGAUUUGAUUACCCCCUUUAUACAACCGAAAACCCCUAUUUUUCGUUUGCCCCUACCUCCUGUUCGUGGCUUAUUUGUUGCAGGUGGAUACUAGAGGAGGCGUGCGCGACGUGCGUACGGGGACUGAACAUGGGUGAAGACAGUUGCCGCGACGUGGGCAGUUACUGCGACGCGAAGAACAUGCGUGGCACGAAGGCUAUCUGCUGCUUAGAGUUAGGGUUUGCACACUUGGGCCUUAUUGGGCCGAAUGUAUUAGGAUUUAGCCCAAAUUUUAUUUUGGCUGUAUA
rnacentral:lncRNA from 1 species